GCAUGACAGCUUGGAUUUUUGAAGAAGGCUGCUGAAGGGCUGAGCUUUUCCUGUUCUCUUUAGAAGGUGAGCUGAACUGCAUUUAGAAGCCUUUAUGUGAUGUUUUAUUAAUCCCAUGAGUCUACUUGCACAAUAUUUAUGUCCUUUGGCUUCGUGACACUUUUAUGGUGACCACACAAGGGACCAUGUUGCUACACACUAGUCAUUUCAGGGUUUGUUCUGCCAGAGAUAUCCCAAGGUUUGUAUUACAUUGCUUUAAGAAUGGCUUUUGGGACACAUGAAACACCUUUUCUUGCAAUCAGUCACACCUUUCAUGUGUGCCUUUACAAAGCUAAUCAGCAGCUGCAUUUGUUUCUUCUCUCCAAAACACCCUUCUCCAUCUUGACCUAGGUGUUCCUUGCAUGAAUAUUCAUAAAUUUGAUAUUAAUUAAGUGUGAGAGAUGUACUCUCUUCUAUUAUCUGAGGUUCUGUCUUCUCUUCAUGUCUGCAGCAUGCUGACUUUAUAAUCUUCCCCCUCAAAGAAGUGAAAGGAUAAAUGAGUAAAUACAGACACUCGUGUAAAAGCUGGUGCCACAUGUUGCCUGGAGACUAAUAGCUGUCAGAGCUAAAAUAGCCAACCUGCUCUGGAGACGAGUGAUUAACAAAUAGGGACCUCAGGAAUAGGAAAAAGCACCAAGGGGAGGAGAUUAACUGAGCUCACAAGAGGAGCACAGGUUAAAUACUUAGUGAGGUGCAGGCUGAAGUCCCUGCAGUAAUCAUUGUUUUUAUUUAUUGCUGCUUAUUUUUGCUAUUUAUUGCUAUGCUGAUGAAAGAGUUUCUUUCCUUUCAAUUUUCUGUAUAAAUUGUGACAGCUUUGGAGGUUUUGGAUGCUCCUGAAGAUGUGCAUCAACAUCUGUCAUGCUUUUUCUGAAGAUAUUGCAGGAGCAGUUUCACAUAGCCGACAAAAUCCCAUCAAAGACGGAAAUUGUUUUCUUUAUGUGAGUGGCAAGGCAAUUACCGAGCUGAGUGACAUGGGUGGAGGAGUGCAUUUACACCAGAAGCUAUUGCUGCAGCAGAAACUACUGGCAGGAAAGCAGUGACUGACGUUCCUUGGCUUAUUAUUAUGGGCCUUGUAUAAAUGGAGUGGAAGCAAUGACUGUUACUGCGUUUCUAAUCAACAAAGUGUUAUGCCAGUAAUUAAGUUUCAACUGACUCGCAUCUCCUUUCUAGGCAUUAAUUGGAGGAAGAUAUGCAGAUUGCUGGUUAAUAAUAGAACAUUAUAUAGUUCUAUAAUCAUUUUCUUCAUGUUUAUCAAUUUGUUUGAUUGCUUGUGUGGCAAAUAUUUGAUCCUGUGUGUGUCUCUUUAGCCAUCAGACUGUUUAUAAACAUCAUUGUUUAUUGUGUUAGUGACAUCUUAAAGCUCUGCAACUUGCAGAGCCUAAUAGCAGCAAAUGUAGAACUUUAUUUUGCAAAAUAAAGUGAGGCCUUUCAAAGAAAACUCCA
rnacentral:lncRNA from 1 species